UACGUAGGGGGCAAGCGUUGUCCGGAUUUAUUGGGCGUAAAGAGCUCGUAGGCGGUUGGGCAAGUCACGUGUGAAAUCUCCACGCUCAACGUGGAGGCGCCACGUGAGACUGCCCUGACUCGAGUCCGGUAGGGGAGCGUGGAAUUCCCGGUGUAGCGGUGGAAAUGCGCAGACGAUCGGGAGGAACGACCCGUAGCGAAGGCGGCGCUCUGGGCCGGUACUGACGCUGAGGAGCGAAAGCGUGGGGAGCAAACAGG
rnacentral:rRNA from 1 species